rnacentral:rRNA from 1 species
AAAUUGAAGAGUUUGAUCAUGGCUCAGAUUGAACGCUGGCGGCAGGCCUAACACAUGCAAGUCGAACGGUAACAGGAAGCAGCUUGCUGCUUUGCUGACGAGUGGCGGACGGGUGAGUAAUGUCUGGGAAACUGCCUGAUGGAGGGGGAUAACUACUGGAAACGGUGGCUAAUACCGCAUAACGUCGCAAGACCAAAGAGGGGGACCUUCGGGCCUCUUGCCAUCAGAUGUGCCCAGAUGGGAUUAGCUAGUUGGUGAGGUAACGGCUCACCAAGGCGACGAUCCCUAGCUGGUCUGAGAGGAUGACCAGCCACACUGGAACUGAGACACGGUCCAGACUCCUACGGGAGGCAGCAGUGGGGAAUAUUGCACAAUGGGCGCAAGCCUGAUGCAGCCAUGCCGCGUGUAUGAAGAAGGCCUUCGGGUUGUAAAGUACUUUCAGCGGGGAGGAAGGUGUUGUGGUUAAUAACCGCAGCAAUUGACGUUACCCGCAGAAGAAGCACCGGCUAACUCCGUGCCAGCAGCCGCGGUAAUACGGAGGGUGCAAGCGUUAAUCGGAAUUACUGGGCGUAAAGCGCACGCAGGCGGUCUGUCAAGUCGGAUGUGAAAUCCCCGGGCUCAACCUGGGAACUGCAUUCGAAACUGGCAGGCUUGAGUCUUGUAGAGGGGGGUAGAAUUCCAGGUGUAGCGGUGAAAUGCGUAGAGAUCUGGAGGAAUACCGGUGGCGAAGGCGGCCCCCUGGACAAAGACUGACGCUCAGGUGCGAAAGCGUGGGGAGCAAACAGGAUUAGAUACCCUGGUAGUCCACGCCGUAAACGAUGUCUACUUGGAGGUUGUGCCCUUGAGGCGUGGCUUCCGGAGCUAACGCGUUAAGUAGACCGCCUGGGGAGUACGGCCGCAAGGUUAAAACUCAAAUGAAUUGACGGGGGCCCGCACAAGCGGUGGAGCAUGUGGUUUAAUUCGAUGCAACGCGAAGAACCUUACCUGGUCUUGACAUCCACAGAAGUUUCCAGAGAUGGAUUGGUGCCUUCGGGAACUGUGAGACAGGUGCUGCAUGGCUGUCGUCAGCUCGUGUUGUGAAAUGUUGGGUUAAGUCCCGCAACGAGCGCAACCCUUAUCCUUUGUUGCCAGCGGUUAGGCCGGGAACUCAAAGGAGACUGCCAGUGAUAAACUGGAGGAAGGUGGGGAUGACGUCAAGUCAUCAUGGCCCUUACGACCAGGGCUACACACGUGCUACAAUGGCGCAUACAAAGAGAAGCGACCUCGCGAGAGCAAGCGGACCUCAUAAAGUGCGUCGUAGUCCGGAUUGGAGUCUGCAACUCGACUCCAUGAAGUCGGAAUCGCUAGUAAUCGUGGAUCAGAAUGCCACGGUGAAUACGUUCCCGGGCCUUGUACACACCGCCCGUCACACCAUGGGAGUGGGUUGCAAAAGAAGUAGGUAGCUUAACCUUCGGGAGGGCGCUUACCACUUUGUGAUUCAUGACUGGGGUGAAGUCGUAACAAGGUAACCGUAGGGGAACCUGCGGUUGGAUCACCUCCUUACCUUAAAGAAGC